rnacentral:rRNA from 1 species
GACGAACGCUGGCGGCGUGCCUAACACAUGCAAGUCGAGCGAGGGGAGUUCUUCGGAACAAACCUAGCGGCGGACGGGUGAGUAACACGUGGGUAACCUGCCUCAGUGAGGGGGAUAGCCUUCCGAAAGGAAGAUUAAUACCGCAUAAUAUUUUGUGACCACAUGGUCAUUUAAUUAAAGGAGUAAUCCGCACUGAGAUGGACCCGCGGCGCAUUAGCUAGUUGGUGAGGUAACGGCUCACCAAGGCCACGAUGCGUAGCCGACCUGAGAGGGUGAUCGGCCACAUUGGAACUGAGAUACGGUCCAGACUCCUACGGGAGGCAGCAGUGGGGAAUAUUGCACAAUGGGCGAAAGCCUGAUGCAGCAACGCCGCGUGAGUGAUGAAGGCCUUCGGGUUGUAAAGCUCUGUCUUUGGGGACGAUAAUGACGGUACCCAAGGAGGAAGCCACGGCUAACUACGUGCCAGCAGCCGCGGUAAUACGUAGGUGGCAAGCGUUGUCCGGAUUUACUGGGCGUAAAGGAUGCGUAGGUGGAUAUGCAAGUCAGAUGUGAAAUACCCGGGCUUAACUCGGGUGCUGCAUUUGAAACUAUAUAUCUAGAGUGCAGGAGAGGUAAGUGGAAUUCCUAGUGUAGCGGUGAAAUGCGUAGAGAUUAGGAAGAACACCAGUGGCGAAGGCGACUUACUGGACUGUAACUGACACUGAGGCAUGAAAGCGUGGGGAGCAAACAGGAUUAGAUACCCUGGUAGUCCACGCCGUAAACGAUGGGUACUAGGUGUAGGGGGUAUCGACUCCCUCUGUGCCGCAGUUAACACAAUAAGUACCCCGCCUGGGGAGUACGGUCGCAAGAUUAAAACUCAAAGGAAUUGACGGGGACCCGCACAAGCAGCGGAGCAUGUGGUUUAAUUCGAAGCAACGCGAAGAACCUUACCUAGACUUGACAUCUUCUGAAUAACCUAGAGAUAGGCGAAGCCCUUCGGGGCAGAAUGACAGGUGGUGCAUGGUUGUCGUCAGCUCGUGUCGUGAGAUGUUGGGCUAAGUCCCGCAACGAGCGCAACCCUUAUCACUAGUUGCUACCAUUUAGUUGAGCACUCUAAUGAGACUGCCCGGGUUAACCGGGAGGAAGGUGGGGAUGACGUCAAAUCAUCAUGCCCCUUAUGUCUAGGGCUACACACGUGCUACAAUGGGCAGUACAGUGAGAUGCAAACUCGUGAGAGUGAGCCAAACUAUAAAACUGUUCCCAGUUCGGAUUGUAGGCUGCAACUCGCCUACAUGAAGCCGGAGUUGCUAGUAAUCGCGAAUCAGCAUGUCGCGGUGAAUACGUUCCCGGGUCUUGUACACACCGCCCGUCACACCAUGAGAGUUAGCAAUACCCGAAGUCCGUGAGGUAACCGUAAGGAGCCAGCGGCCGAAGGUAGGGUUAGCGAUUGGGGUG